UAUGAGCAGGUACACUUUAUGGAGGAGUGUUACAACUCCCAGACUCCACCAAGUGAAGGACCUAGAUCUACGAACACAAACACACUGAGCAGGAUGCUACCAACGCCGCACUUCGAACUGCUGGGCAAACGAAGAACAUGGGUGACACCGUAUCAACAGGUGCAGACAUCAAGAUUUACACCUAAACCAACUGACGCACCUAAAGAAUGAACACGGUAAGAAGUCUUGUUCAGAAGACAUAAAACAUUGAACCCUCACCGAAAGGUAAAAUAAGUAGUUAUCCAUAUUUAUCCUUUCUGCAUUCCCUUUUUCCUUAAAUUAUUUACUUUCCUUAAAUAGCUUGUUAGUUAAUUAUGAUAUCUUGAAAAGAAAAUAAAAAAGUUAAAAAUACUAAGCCCCAUGUGAGUAUGCUCGUGGCAUAAAACUUAUAAGUACAUUCACUGUGGUGGCGUAAAAAUAAAAUAAUUAUAUUCCUGUCCUAUAGAAAUGAAAAUAUAGAAAUAAAUUUAUGAUCCUACCAAAGAGAGUAAUAUUUAUUAGAGGAAGCUCAACAUGAUAAAGGCAAAGAGAUUUUUAUGCUAACACUUAACCAGUUCCACAAAGCUUUGUUGUCUAUUUGAGCUCCACCUGCUAGCUAUAUCAGAAAAAAUUACAUCAAAAUCCUGCUUGGGGAGAGCACCUCCAUUUAUCUAGCUAAGUGUUUCUACUCACGUUUAUACUUUACUAAAAAAAUAAAAAGAUGCAUAAUCAUAAAAACCCAAAUAAAGAUUUUGUGCUUAUAUAUAUCUUUGCUUAGUUUGCUAAAUAAAUAAAUAAAUAAAUAAAGUUUGCUAUGAACCCUCAUGAUAAGCUCUCACAUGGAUAUGAUGAAUAGUUGCUCUGCCAAUUACCUAGUUUUCAAAUUUGAGCUCUCUCUCAAGUUUAGGCAUGACUGUUAUGAAUUAAGAUUUGCUUUAACCCUGAACUUAUAGGAAGAGUACUUGAUCUAAAGUCUAAGUCGUUAACGGAUAUGAUAUGGGAAGUUUGAGCUGCUGUUUAUCUGUUCCUAGAGAUGCUAGAAUUCUGGAGAAUUUUAUCUUUGAAAAUCUUUAAAAUGUUGCAUGAUGAGUUCCUAUAUGAUGAGAGUUUAAAAUCCUACCACAGCCAUAUAUACAUGCUUAUUAGACUAUGAACCAUACAUUUACUUUUUAAUACUUAUGAGCAUUGAGUGUGGUCAAGCUGUGUAGACCCUUAGGAGCUUGUCAUACGGUUAAAAUCAAGAUUUACUUGCAUGUUCACUCAUACAUGCUGCUUCUACUCCAGAAGUACGCAUCCACAUACAUCCACUCCUUUCCAUCUCCAGAUUCACCCAAAAUUAUUCUACUCCUAUCCAGGAGAGAAUAGCCAAAAACAUUAUCCUAUCCCUGUUAUUCCCCGUGAAAUAAAUGCUCGAGAUAUUUUGGUUACUACCACUUGCUACAUUAUUCCGGGAGGGUGAGUGCUCUGAAAAAAAGUGAAUACGAGGAAAUAAAAAAGGGCAAGUGCCCGGAACCUCAAAGAAAAGAAAAAGUGAGACGAGAGGUAAAAAUGGACAAGUGUCCAACAGUAGAAUUAGGGGUACAAGAUACCCACCUGAGAGAAAAGAAAAAGAAAAUAUAGAGCAUCUCAUUCUCCUCGAAAAGCUUCAAAGUGCAAGAAAGGUAUGUAUCCUCUCAAAAGUGCAAAAGUAGACUUUCACCAUUGUUUUCACCAUCAUCAGCAUACACCAUUCAUCCGCCACACAUGCACAUCUUGAUUUGACUUAUUGACUUGUUUCUCUGGAUCCAUGGUUUGACUAUGCAAUAAAUGUCUUGUAAGUAUGUAUUAGCUGUCUCCCACCUAUAAGCUCUAGAUAUCAAAGCCUUAUUAGAGUAGGAUGAGAGAGAAGGCAAUGUCACUAUGCCUCAU
rnacentral:lncRNA from 1 species